UGAUUUGUUCUAACAUUAGAUUGCAGAGGCUCAUUAUAACAGUUAUUGUAUUAUUGAGUUAAUUUUAGUGGAUACCGUGGUAAUUCUAAGCUAAUACAUGCAACAAAAUGUACUUAUAUUAUUAGGUAUUAUUUUUUUCAAAUAAAAUGUUUGCAGUAUGGAUGAUUCAUAGUAAUGUUAGAACGCGAUAGUAGGCCUGUUAUGAAGUUUCUGACCUAUCAGUUAGUCAGUAGUGUAUUGGACUACUGAGGCGUUGACGGGUAACAGAGAAUUAGGGUUCUGUUCCGGAGAGGGAGCCUGAGAAACAGCUACACAUCUAAGGAAGGCAGCAGGCGCGUAAAUUACCCAAUUCUGAUACAAGAGGUAGUGACAAGAAAUCAUAAUAUUUUGCCUUAGGGUUAAGUAAUUGUAUUGAGAACAAGUAGCAUAUUAUCGAUAAACUAUUGGAGGGCAAGUCUGGUGCCAGCAGCCGCGGUAAUUCCAGCUCCAAUAGUGUAUGCUAACAUUGUUGCAGUUAAAAAGCUCGUAGUCGAAUUUUUAAGGGAAUCAAUUUUAAGUGGUCUCAAAGAACUGCAGAAAAGAUGAUUUAUCUUACUUUAUGCUUGUCACGUUGGAAUUUAUUUUCUGAUAGUAAUUGGGUAUAAGUUUACUUUGAGAAAAUUUGAGUGUUCAAAACAGUCUUACGGCUUUUUAUUAAAGCAUGGAAUGAUACUAAUGACAUCGGUUAAGUUUUGUUGGUUUGAAUAGCUGAUGUAAUGAUGGAUAGAGUUAGUCGGAGGUAUUAGUAUUUUGUCGUUAGAAGUGAAAUUCGGAUCGAAAAAGACAAACAACUGCGAAAGCAUUUGCCUAGUAUUUGCUCUUGAUCAAGAACGUAAGUUGGGGGAUCGAAGACGAUCAGAUACCGUCGUAGUCUCAACUUUAAACUAUAUCAACUAGGGGUUGGCAAAUGUGUAUACGACUUUGUCAGAACCUUAUGAGAAAUCAAAGGUUUGGGUUCCGGGGGGAGUAUGGUCGCAAGGCUGAAACUUAAAGGAAUUGACGGAAGGGCACCACAAGAUGUGGAUCCUGUGGCUUAAUUUGACCCAACACGGGAAAACUACCAGGUCCAGACAUAGGUAGGACUGACAGAAUGAUAGCUCUUUCUUGAUUCUAUGGGUGGUGGUGCAUGGCCGUUCUUAGUUGGUGGAGUGAUUUGUCUGGUUAAUUCCGUUAACGAACGAGACUACACUGCUAAAUAGAAAAUUAUAUAGAAUAUUUGCUUCUUAGAAGGACUGGCUUUGCUAAAUUGCUGGAAGUUGGUAGCAAUAACAGGUCUGUGAUGCCCUUAGAUGUUCUGGGCAGCGCACGGGCUACAAUAGAGAGUAAUAGUUUGUUAACAUGUCGAAAAGGACGUGAAUCUUAAACCUUUCUUUAUAUGGAAUCACGCUUUGAACUUUACCGUGUAAACAGGAAUACCUUGUAACUGUAUGUCAGCAACGUACAUGAAUACGUCCCUGCCCUUUGUACACACCGCCCGUCGCUCCUACCGAUUGGAUGAGUUGGUGAGUGGAUUGGAAAGUAUUUCUAAGAUAUUUUUAAAAUUUGCAAACUAGAUUUUCUAGAGGAAGGAGAAGA
rnacentral:rRNA from 1 species